GAUGUAUGUUGUUUAUUUAAAUUAAUUUGUAUUCUAUUCAUAUCUUUGGUUGUGUUUAUUUUUGAUAGCAAUGAAAAACAAAAAGCAAAUGAAUGCAUUUCGUUUAUAAUCCUGGUGUGGAAAUUCCCGUUCUAUGAAUAGCGCUAAAAUUAGAACAAGGAAGACGUAUUUCAAUGAAAAGUAGUCCCGUGUGCUUAGUGCAGAUGAAAUCCGAACAAGAUUUUUUUUUGAUUAAGAAAUCACUACAGACGAAUUUUUCAUUCAAUCACCAUCGUUGUGUAAUAGUGUUUAUUAAUUGAUUUAAAUUAAUAAAUCUACACAAAUUUGUAUAUAGAUUUCAAAUUAAACAUUAUCUGAAUUACCACUACAUUGAGAUGUGUUUUAUGCUCAUCCAAGUAGGACAGACAGUACCUGUUCUGAUUUAUUGAAUUUAGCCUUAGGUCAUUAAUUAAACUUUUGUAAAUAGGUUUGAAAGUGUUCGAAGUUCCUAUUGGUUUUAGUGUUGUUAGCUGGUGUUUUAUUGGUCAGUUCUUUUUCCCUCCAAAAGUUCUUGGUGGUGUAGUUAUUCUUUGUCUAGUUGGUUUAUAAAGAAGUUGGUAAAAAUAUAUGACAGAUAUUUGACUGUUGACUGAUCAUUUAUUUAACAAGGUAAGCUUAUUUUCUAACUUUAAUAUUAUUUCUAAUUAGCAGUAAACUUAAUAAUUUGGUAGAUUUAAUUCCAUAGCACUUGCACAGUGAGAAUGAUAUUUUGUGAGGCGUAAAAUAGUUAGCUUGAAAUAAGUUAAUGUGUUUCACAGAAUUGGUAUAUUUUUGAAGAAAUACUUAAUAUUUUUAUGAUGCAAGUUUAUUUAUGUAAAACUUCAUAAUUUACAGUCAAUCUCCAUGGACAUGUUUUGUUAAUGAGGGAUUAUUGCCACAUCACUUAUUCCCAUAUAAUGAGUGCCAUACAUAUAUAUCUAUUAUAGAUUAGAUUAUGGCAAUAAAAUGGAGGUGAUCAACAUCUAGGAACCC